GAGUUUGAUCCUGGCUCAGAGCGAACGCUGGCGGCAGGCUUAACACAUGCAAGUCGAGCGGGCGUAGCAAUACGUCAGCGGCAGACGGGUGAGUAACACGUGGGAACGUACCUUUUGGUUCGGAACAACUGAGGGAAACUUCAGCUAAUACCGGGAUAAGCCCUAACGGGGAAAGAUUUAUCGCCGAAAGAUCGGCCCGCGUCUGAUUAGCUAGUUGGUGAAGGUAAUGGCUCACCAAGGCGACGAUCAGUAGCUGGUCUGAGAGGAUGAUCAGCCACACUGGGACUGAGACACGGCCCAGGACUCCUACGGGAGGCAGCAGUGGGGAAUAUUGGACAAUGGGGGCAACCCUGAUCCAGCCAUGCCGCGUGAGUGAUGAAGGCCCUAGGGUUGUAAAGCUCUUUG
rnacentral:rRNA from 1 species